rnacentral:rRNA from 1 species
CGCAGCCGCGGGAAUACGGAGGGUGCAAGCGUUAAUCGGAAUUACUGGGCGUAAAGCGCACGCAGGCGGUCUGACAAGUCAGAUGUGAAAUCCCCGGGCUUAACCUGGGAACUGCAUUUGAAACUGUCAGGCUGGAGUCUUGUAGAGGGGGGUGGAAUUCCAGGUGUAGCGGUGAAAUGCGUAGAGAUCUGGAGGAAUACCGGUGGCGAAGGCGGCCCCCUGGACAAAGACUGACGCUCAGGUGCGAAAGCGUGGGGAGCAAACAGGAUUAGAUACCCCUGUAGUCCCUGUCUCUUAUACC